rnacentral:rRNA from 1 species
GACGAACGCUGGCGGCGUGCCUAAUACAUGCAAGUAGGACGCAGUUGCGAACGGGUGAGUAACGCGUAGGUAACUACCUAUUAGAGGGGGAUAACUAUUGGAAACGAUAGCUAAUACCGCAUACUAGUAGAUAGACCUGCGGUGUAUGAGCUAGUAGGUAGGGUAAUGGCCUACCUAGGCAACGAUACAUAGCCGACCUGGGAGGUGGGUCGGCCCCACCUGGACCGGGACACGGCCCAGACUCCUCCGGGGGGCAGCAGUAGGGAAUCUUCGGAAAUGGGGGGAACCCUUACCGAGCAACGCCGGGUGAGUGAAGAAGGUUUUCGGAUCGGAAAGCUCUGUUGUUUAGGAAGCGGUACUUAACCAGAAAGGGACGGCUAACUACGUGCCAGCAGCCGCGGUAAUAC